ensembl:lncRNA
CUCUUGUUUAAAUUUUAUUAUCAUUGUUAUUAGGAAUAAACCAAUAGAAAUAGGAUUACAAAGGGAAAGGUUCAGGAUGAAUAACUUCUUCCUUAUAAAUUCAAACACAGGUGCACACACACAUGCUGGUCUGUGUGAGUUACUUCCUCCCCACAUUCUGUCCUCCUGCACAAACAGUUAUACAAAACAGUCCGCACAACAAUGUGAGCAGCUGGUACCACAACCUGAGCAAAGGACCCCAGUUGUGUCAAGUCUCAGGCUGACUCUUGGUCGAGAUGACCAGCUUCUCCACGCUAAGAGUACUUGUGGUUUCAUCCUCUUCAUUUGACCCAAAAUAUCCCGGGAGGUCCAGCAUCCUCUGCUCGGCUUCAGUGAGGCCGAAUGAUGUAUUGUCGUAGAAGGCGAACUCGGGGUGCGCGGGAAGCUCUGGCACUUGUCUUUCCGACAUUGAGAAGGGCUCAGAGGACUGACCCUCUGCUGCUGCUGGGCAAGGCGGUAGCUGAACAGCGGUGGGAUUAUCUUCUGCGCGUUGGACUGGAAGCUGUCACUGCCGGAAGCGUCGUCCUCGGGAGUGGCCGGCACGCUGCGCCUGUAGGUCAGAGGGAUGCCCAUGUCCCCCGGGCCCCCCACAGGCCCGUCACCCCCAUCCGAGAAGCUCCCGCGCUGCUGGCUCAGCUCGCAGAUGUUCUCCUCAUCUGAGUUCUUCCGGAAGCUGGGCGAGUGGAGGGAGUUGUGCCGAGCGGGGUGCUGCACUUGGGGGGCGGCCGAACUUCCUCCACAGCGUGAUGAGGACGGUGGCCACGAUGAUGAACAAGCACAGCGAAAUCCCAGUGACCGUCACGAUGUUGUUGGACUUCACCGGGCCCUGCGGCUGAAGAGGAGACGGGCUGGAUGGCCGGAAAGCUACAAAAAAGGCAAGAACAAAUGUAUUCUCUAGUAGUGUUUUCUCUGGUGGUUUUCAGGUCUCUGAGAGGCUUUUCUAAGGACAAAGAUUUCUGGUCCUACAUCUGCAUCUCUGCUGGCAGCUUAAGCCAAACUAAGAAACAGAGACCCAUGUAAGUGAGGUGACCAGAUAAGCCACAAUUAAGGUGAUUCCUGGACUCGGGGGCUCCUGCUGACGCUUGUCUCACAUUUUUCACAAAGAAGUAGCAUGAGGAAAGUUUCAAGGCUCUUCCCGGAUCUCAGCAGAUGCUCACAAGGACUGAGAGCAGAGAAAGCCUCCCUUGUGAUGGAAGCCCAAGCAGGGAAGGAGCAGCGCUGUGGGAAAGACACAGACCUCACCCAGACCCUCCUCCACAUCUGCUCUAUCAACAAAAGCCUCGACCACUGGGGACAAGGCAGCAAACCUUGUAACUCUAAGAGCACGGUUGAAACUCAGUGCCACUACGGAAUGGAGAAGGAAGAAAAUCCUUCACCCCGGGAGGAGCAGACAAUAUCCUGGGCCCAGACUAUGAGAGAGCUUCUACCACUGGGGAGGGGCAGGAUCAUCAGGAAGGCCCCAUCACUGAGACUUUGGGGCACAGCACUUGCCUGAGACUAAGGCUGAACUGGAACAAGAGGAUGCUCUCCCACACCCAUUGCCCGACCCCCAUGCUGCACCAGGCCAGCAAUUACCACGUAUCAAGUAACAACAGUCUACUGCUGAGGCAGGGGCAAGAGUGACAGGAAAACCUCUCUGAUGUACAGGCUCAAGCCUAAAGCUGAGGGUGCAACAGAAGCAUGGAGAAAAACCCUCUGGCAACCCAACUCCUACCCUAAUCACAAAGUAACAUUAGAAAAUUUUGAACUCUGUCAUGCACUGAAGGUAGCCAUAGCAACAGCAAAAGCCCAAACAGCCCCAAUUCCUUACCACAUUGACCCAAUCCCCACACUAAAGGCCUAGCAAAAACAGGGUAUGCCCAUUUCCAGGCAUAAAUACUAUCUGUCGGUGUCUACAAUUCUAAAAAAGAUGUCCAGCUUUCAAACAAAAAUUGUGAGAUACACAAAGAAGCGAGAAAAAACCAUAAACCAUCUAGAGACAAAGUAAUCAAGAGAACCAGACUCAGAUGUGACCCAGAUAUUGGAACUAUCAAAGAGAGAAGUUAAAAUAACUAUAAUUAAUAUGUUAAAGACUUUAGUGGAAAACAUGAGCAAGAUGCAUGAACAGAUGGAAAAUUUCAUCAAAGAUUCAUAAGCUUAAAAGAAUCAAGUGGAAUGAAAUGAAUAGCGUGCUAACAGAGAUGUACGAAUGCCUUCCAGAGGCUCACCAGGAGACUCGACACAGCUGAGGAAAGAAGCAGUGACUCUGAAUACAGAUCAAUAGAAAUCACGAAAACUGAAACAUAAAAAGGAAGAAAAAGAGUGAACAAAACAGAAUAGAAUACACAAGAGGUCUGGGACAAUAUCAGAUAGUCUCUUAUACAAGUAACUGUCAAAUAGCAGGAAUGUAUUAUGUGUUUAUAGGGCAUAUAAAGUAAAAUGUAUGACAACAAUCACACAGAGAAUGGGAGGAAUGAAUUGGGAGUGUACUGUCACAAGACCCUUACACUACAUGUGAAGCAAUAUAACAUUAUUUGAAGGCAGACUGAAAGCAAUUAAAGAUGAAUAUUGCAAAUUCUAGGACAACCACUAAAAAACAUUUUAAGGUAGAAACAAUAAACCAACAGUCUAAAGUAAACCAUAAAAAAUAUUCAAUUAAUAAAAAAGAAGCCAGAAAAAAGGGGGAGAAGAAACAAAGAACAGAUGGAACAAAUAUAAAACUACCAAUAUGGUAGAUCUUGGGGCCGGCCCCGUGGCCGAGUGGUUAAAUUGGCACGCUCCACUGCGGCAGCCCAGGGUUUCGCUGGUUCGGAUCCUGGGCAUGGACAUGGCACUGCUCAUCAAGCCAUGCUAAAGCGGGGUCCCACAUGCCACAACUAGAAAGACCCACAAUUAAAAUAUGCACCUAUGUACCGGAGGGCUUUGGAGAGAAAAAGGAAAAAUAAAAUCUUAAAAAGAAAAAAAGCUGGUAGAUCUUAAUCCAACCAUACAAUGAUUACAGUAAAUAUAAAUAAUCUAAAGACACCAAUUAAAAGACAGAUUGUGAGACUGGAUAAAAAAGCAUGACCCAACUACAUGCUGUUUAAAGAAAAUACCUUAAAUACAAAUACAUAAAUAGGUUAAAAGUAAAAGGAUGGAAGAAGUUAUACCUUGUGAACAUCAAUCAAAAGAAAACUGGAGUGGUUAUAUUAACGUCAGACAAAGUAGAUGCCAGAACAAGGAAUACUACCAGGGAUAAAGAGGGACAAUACAUAGAGAUAAAAGGGUCAAUUCAGCGAGGAGACUUAACAACCCUCACAAGACCAGAGCUUCAAAAUACAUAAAAAACACUCCCCAAACAGUCACUAUUGCUUGAGAAAUGCAAACUUCUCUUCCAAGCAUAGGUGCAACCACUCCCAGAAAGAAUAACUGAGUAGUCCCCUCUUAAAAAAUAAUCCUAAUUGCCUACUCUAUCAGCACCCAUCCAGCCCCAAGACCCAUCAGGUCACGCCAACACUAGGCACCAAAACAACCUCUGCAUAAAAGCCCUUCUUCAUCCUUUAUGAAAAAAAACUCAUACCGCAGUCAAAGGUAUAUUAAGCACUACGAAAACAUGAGGAGAACGUGGAGGGCAGAGACAUUCUCAGGUGAGCCAAGUGGUGCAAUCUUUGGAG